AUCUGGCCCUUGGGUCCGAGUUGUAAUUUGUAGAGGAUGCUUUUGGCGAGGUGCCUUCCGAGUUCCCUGGAACGGGACGCCAUAGAGGGUGAGAGCCCCGUCUGGUCGGACACCGAGCCUCUGUAAAGCUCCUUCGACGAGUCGAGUAGUUUGGGAAUGCUGCUCAAAAUGGGAGGUAUAUGUCUUCUAAAGCUAAAUAUUGGCCAGAGACCGAUAGCGCACAAGUAGAGUGAUCGAAAGAUGAAAAGCACUUUGAAAAGAGGGUUAAAAAGUACGUGAAAUUGUUGAAAGGGAAGCGCCUAUGACCAGACUUGGGCCCGGUGAAUCAUCCAGCGUUCUCGCUGGUGCACUUUGCCGGGCACAGGCCAGCAUCAGUUUGGCGCGGGGGAAAAAGGUUUUGGGAAUGUGGCUCCCUCGGGAGUGUUAUAGCCCAUUGCGUAAUACCCUGCGCCGGACUGAG
rnacentral:rRNA from 2 species